rnacentral:misc_RNA from 1 species
GAUGAAGAACGUAGCGAAAUGCGAUAAGUAGUGUGAAUUGCAGAAUUCAGUGAAUCAUCGAAUCUUUGAACGCACAUUGCGCCCCUUGGUAUUCCAUGGGGCAUGCCUGUUCGAGCGUCAUUUGUACCUUCAAGCUCUGCUUGGUGUUGGGUGUUUGUCUCGCCUCUGCGUGUAGACUCGCCUCAAAACAAUUGGCAGCCGGCGUAUUGAUUUCGGAGCGCAGUACAUCUCGCGCUUUGCACUCAUAACGACGACGUCCAAAAGUACAUUUUUACACUCUUGACCUCGGAUCAGGUAGGGAUACCCGCUGAACUUAACCAUAUCAAUAAGCGGAGGA